rnacentral:rRNA from 1 species
UACGGGGGGGGCAAGCGUUGUUCGGAAUUACUGGGCGUAAAGGGUCUGUAGGUGGCCAACUAAGUCGGACGUGAAAUCCCUCAGCUUAACUGGGGAACUGCGUCUGAUACUGGAUGGCUCGAGUGUGGGAGAGGAAUGCGGAAUUCCAGGUGUAGCGGUGAAAUGCGUAGAUAUCUGGAAGAACACCGGUGGCGAAGGCGGCAUUCUGGACCAUAACUGACACUGAGAGACGAAAGCCAGGGGAGCAAACGGG